rnacentral:rRNA from 1 species
CAGUAGCCGCGGUAAUACGUAGGGUGCAAGCGUUAAUCGGAAUUACUGGGCGUAAAGCGUGCGCAGGCGGUUAUAUAAGACAGAUGUGAAAUCCCCGGGCUCAACCUGGGAACUGCAUUUGUGACUGUAUAGCUAGAGUACGGCAGAGGGGGAUGGAAUUCCGCGUGUAGCAGUGAAAUGCGUAGAUAUGCGGAGGAACACCGAUGGCGAAGGCAAUCCCCUGGGCCUGUACUGACGCUCAUGCACGAAAGCGUGGGGAGCAAACAGGAUUAGAUACUCGUGUAGUCCCUGUCUCUUAUAC